UAGGGAAUCUUCACAAUGGGCGAAAGCCUGAUGGAGCAACGCCGCGUGUGUGAUGAAGGGUUUCGGCUCGUAAAACACUGUUGUAAGAGAAGAAUGACAUUGAGAGUAACUGUUCAAUGUGUGACGGUAUCUUACCAGAAAGGAACGGCUAAAUACGUGCCAC
rnacentral:rRNA from 1 species